AACAUGUUAGUAAGUUGAAUAGUGUUGAAUCUGUCGACCACCAUUAUUUUUGUCUUAGCUUUAUUGAUUUUCAGACCAACUUUAUUGCUUUCGUACUCAACUGUUCGCAGAAGAUUAAAGAUUUCUUGCUCAUUUGCUGCUAU
rnacentral:lncRNA from 1 species